AAAAUACUCCCUCCAUCCGGAAAUACUUGUCAGAGAAAUGGAUGUAUCUAGACGUAUUUUAGUUCAAGAUACAUCCAUUUUUCUGACAAGUAUUUCCAGACGGAGGGAGUACAUU
rnacentral:pre_miRNA from 1 species